rnacentral:sRNA from 1 species
AUGAAGCUCUGUUGGCAAAAAUCCAUCCAUGGUUCUUAAAGAAACAUGGGAAGAAGUGUGAGAGGGUCCUUAACUCCUCACACUCUCCCACUUCCAACAGUUUGCUUGUGCUUAGCUAUUGGCUUCUCUAAUCACCAAGGGAUAUGCUGAAACAUUCUCAUUCUCUCUGAGUAGCAGAAGCAGAUAAGCAUUCUCUAAAGGAGGAGAGGCUUUGGCUACAGCUUGGCAAACCGGCAAGUCACAAAAAGGCAAUGGACUCCAUUAGGGGUUCU